UACGAAGGGGGCUAGCGUUGCUCGGAAUCACUGGGCGUAAAGCGCACGUAGGCGGCUUUCUAAGUCAGGGGUGAAAUCCUGGAGCUCAACUCCAGAACUGCCUUUGAUACUGGAGAGCUCGAGUCCGGGAAGAGGUGAGUGGAACUGCGAGUGUAGAGGUGAAAUUCGUAGAUAUUCGCAAGAACACCAGUGGCGAAGGCGGCUCACUGGUCCGGUACUGGACGCUGAGGUGCGAAAGCG
rnacentral:rRNA from 1 species